rnacentral:rRNA from 1 species
AUGCUCGAAGAAUUCUGCCAAAACUUUGAAGAGGAAACUAGUCGACUGGAGCCGAACUUGGACCCCGUCAACUCUCCAGUGACCGAUGAAGCAGCCAUGAAUGUGUUCCGCCUUGAGUCCCGCGUUGCCGCUGUUGUCGACUAUCUUGCAAGGCUGAAGGUCGCCACUUCUCGCAUCGACACCAUGCUCUGGCCUAGGGAGACACUCCAGAAUGACCUCGAGUCGCUGAUGGCUCGACUAAACACAGUUCCUGGUCGAGUGCAGGAGUGGAAAAAGUCCUCUGCGAGGUGUUGUGCAGAUGUUGCUCUGUGUCUGGCCCGAGUCCACUGCAAAGAUGCGCGAGAAGAUAAGUUGGCGGCUCUUCGGGUGGCCAACACCAAGAAGCACGACUUCAGGUCCUUCAUGGAGACCUUCAUCGCUGCCGCCACUCGGAUUGCUGACGGAAUUGACCUUGAUGAGUUUGUUGCGCCUUCCAGCCCUCCACAGGAGGGGUAA